AGAGUUUGAUUCUGGCUCAGAACGAACGCUGGCGGCGUGGAUAAGACAUGCAAGUCGAACGAGAGAAUUGCUAGCUUGCUAAUAAUUCUCUAGUGGCGCACGGGUGAGUAACACGUGAGUAACCUGCCCCCGAGAGCGGGAUAGCCCUGGGAAACUGGGAUUAAUACCGCAUAGUAUCGAAAGAUUAAAGCAGCAAUGCGCUUGGGGAUGGGCUCGCGGCCUAUUAGUUAGUUGGUGAGGUAACGGCUCACCAAGGCGAUGACGGGUAGCCGGUCUGAGAGGAUGUCCGGCCACACUGGAACUGAGACACGGUCCAGACACCUACGGGUGGCAGCAGUCGAGAAUCAUUCACAAUGGGGGAAACCCUGAUGGUGCGACGCCGCGUGGGGGAAUGAAGGUCUUCGGAUUGUAAACCCCUGUCAUGUGGGAGCAAAUUAAAAAGAUAGUACCACAAGAGGAAGAGACGGCUAACUCUGUGCCAGCAGCCGCGGUAAUACAGAGGUCUCAAGCGUUGUUCGGAAUCACUGGGCGUAAAGCGUGCGUAGGCUGUUUCGUAAGUCGUGUGUGAAAGGCGCGGGCUCAACCCGCGGACGGCACAUGAUACUGCGAGACUAGAGUAAUGGAGGGGGAACCGGAAUUCUCGGUGUAGCAGUGAAAUGCGUAGAUAUCGAGAGGAACACUCGUGGCGAAGGCGGGUUCCUGGACAUUAACUGACGCUGAGGCACGAAGGCCAGGGGAGCGAAAGGGAUUAGAUACCCCUGUAGUCCUGGCAGUAAACGGUGCACGCUUGGUGUGCGGGGAAUCGACCCCCUGCGUGCCGGAGCUAACGCGUUAAGCGUGCCGCCUGGGGAGUACGGUCGCAAGAUUAAAACUCAAAGGAAUUGACGGGGAGCCGCACAA
rnacentral:rRNA from 1 species